UUCGCAAUGCCCGAAAGGGUGACGAAGCGACGCCGCGUGUGGGAAGAAGGCCUUCGGGUUGUAAACCACUGUCGGGAGUUAAGAAAUGUAAGGGUGUUAACAGCAUCCUUACUUGACUAAGGCUCCGGAGGAAGCCACGGCUAACUCUGUGCCAGCAGCCGCGGUAAUACAGAGGCGGCAAGCGUUGUUCGGAAUUAUUGGGCGUAAAGAGCACGUAGGCGGCCUUGCAAGUCAGUUGUGAAAUCCUUCUGCUUAACGGAAGAACAGCAGCUGAUACUACAGGGCUUGAGUGCGGGGGGGGAGAGUGGAACUUCUGGUGGAGCGGUGAAAUGCGUAGAUAUCAGAAGGAACGCCGGCGGCGAAAGCGGCUCUCUGGCCCGUAACUGACGCUGAGUGUGCGAAAGCUAGGGGAGCAAACGGGAUUAGAUACCCCGGUAGUCCUAGCCGUAAACGAUGGGCACUAAGUAGAGGGGUUUU
rnacentral:rRNA from 1 species